GAUGAAGAACGCAGCGAAAUGCGAUACGUAAUGUGAAUUGCAGAAUUCAGUGAAUCAUCGAGUCUUUGAACGCACAUUGCGCCCCCUGGUAUUCCGGGGGCAUGCCUGUCCGAGCGUCAUUGCUGCCCUCAAGCGCGGCUUGUGUGUUGGGCCUCCGUCCUCCUCCCGGGGGACGGGCCCGAAAGGCAGCGGCGGCACCGCGUCCGGUCCUCGAGCGUAUGGGGCUUCGUCACCCGCUCUUGUAGGCCCGGCCGGCGCUUGCCGACACAUCAAUCUUUUUUCCAGGUUGACCUCGGAUCAGGUAGGGAUACCCGCUGAACUUAAGCAUAUCAAUAAGCGGAGGA
rnacentral:misc_RNA from 1 species